rnacentral:rRNA from 1 species
UCCGUAGGCGGGCGAUUAAGUCAGAGGUGAAAUCCCACAGCUCAACUGUGGAACUGCCUUUGAUACUGGUUGUCUUGAGUUAUAGUGAAGUAGAUAGAAUAUGUAGUGUAGCGGUGAAAUGCAUAGAUAUUACAUAGAAUACCGAUUGCGAAAGGCAGUCUACUAACUGUAUACUGACGCUAAUGGACGAAAGCGUGGGGAGCGAACA